GAUGAAGAACGUAGCGAAAUGCGAUAAGUAAUGUGAAUUGCAGAAUUCAGUGAAUCAUCGAAUCUUUGAACGCACAUUGCGCCCCUUGGUAUUCCGAGGGGCAUGCCUGUUCGAGCGUCAUUAUAACCCUCAAGCUCCGGCUUGGUGUUGAGGCCUGCUGUAAAGGCACCCUCUAAAAUCAGUGGCAGUGCUGUCAGGCUCUAAGCGUAGUAAUUCUCUCGCUACAGGGUCCCGGUGGACACUCGCCAGAACCCCCCCAUUUUUUAAUGAUUGACCUCGGAUUAGGUAGGGAUACCCGCUGAACUUAAGCAUAUCAAUAAGCGGAGGA
rnacentral:misc_RNA from 1 species